rnacentral:rRNA from 1 species
GGACCCGCACAAGCGGUGGAUUAUGUGGAUUAAUUCGAUGCAACGCGAAAAACCUUACCUACCCUUGACAUGUCCGGAAGCCUGGUGAGAGCUGGGUGUGCUCGAAAGAGAACCGGAACACAGGUGCUGCAUGGCUGUCGUCAGCUCGUGUCGUGAGAUGUUGGGUUAAGUCCCGCAACGAGCGCAACCCUUGCCAUUAGUUGCCACUGGAAACGGGGCACUCUAAUGGGACUGCCGGUGACAAACCGGAGGAAGGUGGGGAUGACGUCAAGUCCUCAUGGCCCUUAUGGGUAGGGCUUCACACGUAAUACAAUGGCGCGUACAGAGGGUUGCCAAGGAGCGAUCUGGAGCCAAUCCCGCAAAGCGCGUCGUAGUCCGGAUUGCAGUCUGCAACUCGACUGCAUGAAGUCGGAAUCGCUAGUAAUCGCGGAUCAGCAUGUCGCGGUGAAUACGUUCCCGGGUCUU